UUUCAGUCCUGUGACUGCUGGGCACUGAUUCUGCAUUCAAGAUGUGUUUCUAGAUGUGAGUGGCCAUACUUUAUUGCUUGUGGCUUAUGGAAUGGAUAACCUCCGUGGGCUCCAUUUCCUAAUCUUUAAGAAGAAAGAAAGAGGAAGAAGGAAGAAAGUCAAAAGGAUGAAACAACAAAAGGAGCUCCCCACAGAAAGACAGACUCUUUCGCCAGCACAUUUAAGAAUCUAAAUGAGGCCAAGUGCCAAGCAGAUAAAGGGACUCUACUUGCUGCACAGUAAAUAAAACGGAGGCAGGAGGACACCUGCAUCAAACAAUACUUUCUGAGGGGAUGACAACAAGAUUUCAGAGAAUUCAGAUCCUGACUUUCCUGCCUCACCAGGUACAACCCAAGUCACCAGAGCUCAUAAAAGAUGUGUGUGCUGUCGCAUCUAUGUGAAGUAUUUCCAUGACCCGAGCAUUGACCACAGGACUGUGCUGGAGGAAACUGGAUCAAGGUACCAAGACAGAUACAGGAGGGUCUCCAGAAACCCUAGAGCUGAAUGGAACCCGUCUGGAAAACAUACACUGGAAACUAGGCCGAGGAUUAUCCAAAGGGUGGUUGAAAUCAAGGGUUAAAGUUUGGCUCAAGAUAAGGAAGAAUCUUCUAAUAAUUAAAACUGACCAUCCAAAAGGUAAUGGGAUGCUCUGUGGUAUAGUUAGUGAUUUCUGUGUCUUUGAAAUAAUCAAGUGGUAGCUAGAAGACCACUGUCAGGAAUGCAAUAAAAGUAUUUCCUGCACUAAGAAAGAAAACAAAGAUGACAUUACCUCAAGUUGCUUUACAACUCUCAGGUUCUUUGAGUCUUUGACAUGCUCAAAAUUAUAUUUUGAGAGAGCUUGGCCUAUCUCCUGAAACAUUCUGCUUCAACUUGAGCAUCUCUCUCUCUCUUUUUCCCUGUUCAAUUUCUUUAUACUUCUGUAUUAAUAUUUUUUGUUUGCUAGGGGUUUCUAUCAAAAAGAAAAACUAAUAUGUAAGAACCAUUUGUCUCCUUAAGUAAUAGCUCGUCAAUUGUUUGAAAGCAGUCAUUAUUUCCAUUCCCCAAUCCUUUAUUCUCUUCUUCAGAAUAAAUCUCCCUGGCUUUUUCAACUGAGACUGUAGUUUGAUUUCUAGAUUUUCCAGAUUCUCCAACCUGUACAAAGAACAUACUCAUCUGGGCCCACAUGUCCUCAGUAUAAUAAAUGUGAUAACACUUGAACAUGAGGCAAAUUCAAGAACUGAACCUUAGUUUUGGCCUCUGGAUUCUGGAAAAUUUGAGGACAAGACUGAAUUAAGUGUCAAGAAAAGUUCUGAAUGCAGGACUCUCCCCAGAAGCAAAGGCACAAAUGCCUGUGCCUCUCACUUUAUAAUAUGUGUUGGGGAGAUCUUGCUGUCGUCAGAGUCUUCCUACAAGGCCCUGCAGGGGAGCUGGUGCCUGUGAGCCACUCCUGCCUUGUGAGGAGGGGACUAGAAGAUA
rnacentral:lncRNA from 1 species